CCUACGGGUGGCUGCAGUGAGGAAUAUUGGUCAAUGGACGAGAGUCUGAACCAGCCAAGUAGCGUGAAGGAUGACUGCCCUAUGGGUUGUAAACUUCUUUUAUAUGGGAAUAAAAUGUUCCACGUGUGGGAUUUUGUAUGUACCAUAUGAAUAAGGAUCGGCUAACUCCGUGCCAGCAGCCGCGGUACUAGGGAGGAUCCGAGCGUUAUCCGGAUUUAUUGGGUUUAAAGGGAGCGUAGGUGGAUUGUUAAGUUAGUUGUGAAAGUUUGGGGCUAAACCGGAAAAUUGCAGUUGAAACUGGCAGUGUUGAGGACAGUAGAGGUGGGCGGAAUUCGUGGUGUAGCGGUGAAAUGCUUAGAUAUCACGAAGAAAUCCGAUUGCGAAGGCAGCUCACUGGACUGCAACGGACAGUGAGGAUCGAAAGUGUGGGUAUCAAACAGGAUUAGAUACCCCUGUGUC
rnacentral:rRNA from 1 species